rnacentral:rRNA from 1 species
UACGUAGGGUGCGAGCGUUAAUCGGAAUUACUGGGCGUAAAGCGUGCGCAGGCGGUGAUGUAAGACAGAUGUGAAAUCCCCGGGCUCAACCUGGGACCUGCAUUUGUGACUGCAUCGCUAGAGUACGGGCAGAGGGGGAUGGAAUUCCGCGUGUAGCAGUGAAAUGCGUAGAUAUGCGGAGGAACACCGAUGGCGAAGGCAAUCCCCUGGACCUGUACUGACGCUCAUGCACGAAAGCGUGGG